UACGUAGGGACCAAGCGUUGUUCGGAUUUACUGGGCGUAAAGGGCGCGUAGGCGGCGCGGUAAGUCGGGUGUGAAAUCUCGGAGCUCAACCCCUGCACUGCGCUUGAUACUUCCGCGCUCGAACCUUGGAGAGGAGUCUGGAAUUCUCGGUGUAGCAGUGAAAUGCGUGGAUAUCGAGAAGAACACUUAGGGCGAAAGCAAGACUCUGGACAAGUGUUGACGCUCAUGCACGAAGGCUAGGGUAGCGAACGGG
rnacentral:rRNA from 1 species